CCGCGCUGCGCCUUGAGCGAUUCGAUUUCGCUUCAGUGUGAGGUGGCGGCGAAUGAACGAGCGGCUGCGGGUGGCGGCUGGUGGGGAGCGGCGCUGUGUCCCCUUACCAAUAACAUCUCAUUACAGCCCUGCCGUUCACAUCUCAUUACAGCCCUGCCGUUCACAUCUCAACCAGCACUGAGAUGUGGGAAGGCCAACAGGAGCUUUCUUGCAAACUGCUUUGCGGUGUAUUCCAUGCACUGGUUGCAGUGCCAUAGCACGGUGCUGGCUUUCAGUGUGAGCCUGGUUUCACUCUCUGAACCCGCGCUGUGUUGUAAGCAGCGCUGACUUGUUGUGGCUCUGGGUGCAGAGCAGCGUGUUCAGGUGUCAGCUGCAGUUACAAAGGGAGCAGUAAUUUUUCCUUUUCCAGCAGUGAAAACCAAUGACCGCCCUGACUGGAACGGGACCAGAGGAGAAUUGCACCUGGAGGAAAAGGGCCCACCCAGCUUUUCAAUGGACAAGAUACGCAGAGCUGACAACAGCCCGUCCUCGUUCCAAGAGCAGUAAUUCAGCUCUCAGAAACUCAGGAGCCAAAUAUUUGGAAGAAAUGUGCAGCUGGGUGGGUCUCACACACUGCAGAACUCUGCACGUGCACUGUAAGAAGGGCUGGAAGAACCAGCAAAAAGGGAAAAAACCCUGGCUGAUAUUGCAGGGAGAGGGAGGGCAGAGCCAGCAGUAAAUGCACUGCACAAAAUGCAAAUUAUGGCACAGAGAAGGGAGCCCAGGACAGGCGAGGAGGGAGAGGCAGUCACUGCGACCCUCACCUGGCACCUCGUAUUGUAUCUUAACCACAAGUUGCCUUAGGAAGCUGAAUUAAUAAACAACGGCUUGGAAAACUCAGCCCCAGUCAGGCCUGUCUCUGAUCCGCCUCUUCAGGACACGACACUUCACUUACCUGCGUCUUUAAUGCCCGGAUCUGGAUGCCCAAUUCUUGUACAGCUCACCACAGCCAUUCUGUUGAGCAUCCAGCUCUGCACUCCCUGAGCUAAUCAAUACUAAUAUUGACACUAAUCAGGAGCAGAAACUGCAGAGCACAUCUUUUUUGUUUUUCUAAAGGAUGACGUGCUAUAAAAAAAAAGUUUAGUAGUUCACUGUUUCUUAAACACAGAGUUAGUCACCACUAUCGUGCUGUCAUCUGACUGUACCUUAAGAUGCAGCUGAACGUUUUCAUUGUUGCACUGAGCAGCAAACCUGGACUUGUUUUAACAAGUUAACACCAGAACUUUAUUCUACUCCACCCACACAACCCCGGGAUUUAUUUUCAUCUGGGAACUUGUUAAGCACAACAGCACAGAAACGAAUGAUCCACGAUGCUUAGGAUUCACACACAAAUCUUAAAAUUCUGCUGCUGGAAACAGAUCAUCAGUGCUUUGAUAGGGAGCAGUCAGUAGCACUCUUCACAGCAUCAAGAGCCGGGCUUUAGUUCUUAGUUCCAUGGCACUGUGCCUGAGCACGAUACACUCGACAUUUGAUGAUCCCAGAAGUGACCAAUUUGCAGUAGAACUCGGUCCUGUGGUAGGAUGCUAAAGGACCAGACUGCACCUACAUGUUGUGCAGUGGGUGUUUCUCCAUGUAGCAGUUCACCCGUGACAGCGUUUGGUCACAAAAGGCUCCGAGCCACCCUGGGGUCAGUGAAGUGGGGCAAAGAACGGGAUGUCAAAGCAGCAGAGUGUGGUCAACAGAACAGCCACUUUCUUUCAUCUGCUGUUUCCUUAACCCAGCCACAUGCAGCUGUGAAGCAGCCUGAGAUGAGGCUGAUCCUCGCAGCAAUGUCACCAUUCAGAGGUAUCGGGUUCAGCUCCAUAUUUGUGCCAUAGUUUCCCUCAGUGCUGGCACCCCACCAGCUUCUGGAAAAGGUUUUCAAUUUUUACAUCUGUGCACAUUCUGUAGUUUUUUAGGGUGUUCACAAUAAAGUCUGACAUUACCAUUAUGAGAACUACAUUUUUUUAUGAAACAUCUGUGAUAUCUAGAGGGUGAAUAUUAGAAAGUUGUGCUAUUCCAAUUGGGGUACUUGGAAGUGUUUGUGCUGGCCAGAGACAGCUCAGUAUUUAGGAAUGAUCUACUCUCACUACAGGUCAGUGUUAUUGCAGGGCUUUGCAGCAGUUCUAACAAUUGCAGUUUUACUUGUACAGUUUUACCCUUAUUUAACUCUAGAACAAAAUUUGUACCCUUUCAUCACAGAAGUUCUAAACUUAGACUUUAUUUUCCCUUUGUAAAACAUUCUGGCAUUCAGGUGCCAGCUGGGCAGCAAUUCUGAAGCCAUUUCCAAAUAGAGAAGUGGUUGCUCUGAGGAUGCCAUUUUUUCCCCAUGUAGAAUUGUUUGACCGCAUAAAGACUGAGCUAAAAUAACUCCCCUUUCAUUCACUACCAUUGCACCACAAGUACCAGGGAAGGUCAGCUGGCCAAAAGAGGAAUGACAGUGAUUUUAGCAGCAGUCACUUAGCGUGGCUUCAGGAAAUACCUCUUAGGGCUCCUCUCUAUACACAGUGCUGCUAUUACUGAUACAGAUGAAUGAUUCAGAGGCAGCAUGUAAGUACUUACACAUUUUUAGUAAAGUAUUCCCCUAAAAGAGAAAUAUAUAUAUAUUUGUCAUGAAGGUUGCCUGACAGUUGGGACUUGACGUUUUUAAGUUAGAAGAGCCCAAAUAGACAAAUUAUACUGCUGUAUUCUUUAAAGGCCAAGCAGCUGUUUUAUUAAAAUACUGGAUUAACAUUAAAAAGUCUGAUUCUUUCGAUUAUAAUCAUCUUACUGCAGUGACAUGAGAUUGAUGACACGGGGCUGGCUUUGUUCUAUCCACAUGCUGUCCCCUCCUCAGUUAUCCACAGGCAGUUUUGCUGCUAUUCAAAACCUUGCAGGAUCACACCUGCACAGCAGCACAUUUGUCUGAAGGACAAACCCUGAGGCAAUUGGUUCUUGUUCUCCCCAGGGAGAACAGCUUGUCAAAUCUCACUUUCAACCCCAUUCAAAUCCGUGUUCCAAGAAACAGAGGAAGGAUUUCAGAAUAGACCAACUCUGUCCCGUAAGCGAAUGACCUUCAAACAACUUGAAGCAGGUUGAAUUUACAUUUUACUUCAAAAAAAGGCAAAGUACAUACAUGAGGAGAAGAUGGAGGAACAAGUUACCUGAAACCAGGCUUCUACCACUUCUGCCUAAGCUCACCAGCUGUGUCUGAUCUGCAGGGCUCGGCCCACCCCGGGACACUUGCUUACCAUGGGAACAGGACUGUGGAUCAAGGGAACGUGUUCAAAGUCGAGGCCCAAAUGGAAAGAGGAAGAUAUCGUACACAGUGUGAGUUUAUAGUACACAGCUUUGUUUUUAAAUGACGCAACGCAACAGCAGGAAGGAGAAGUAGUAGUUAACAAUGACUAACACUAGAAUAAUCAAAUUUGUAUGUUAUACAUAUACAGCAACUAACUGCUUUACAAAAAAAGCAAAAUAAUACAAUAUAUUGUCACAUGUAUUUACAGUGUAGUAAAUAUACUUUUCUGUCAAAUUUUACACAAAAAAUAUUUACAGGUGAAUAUACUGCAUUAAAAAAAAUGGUGGGACCAACACUAAAAGUGACUUUCUGUGGUAAGUUUGUUGCAUAACAGUAAGACGUGCUUCAUUACAUCGGUAAAAAUUAAACUUAGGAUGGAACAGAAAAAGCCCUAAAACCUACAACCCAUUUAGGAAGAGAGCCCUGGAGUGCUCCAAGUGCUCCUCCACAAUACUUAGUUGAAAAGCUUCCUCUUCUUGGAAACUUCAUGCACAUUAAAGCAGAAACAUUGGCAUAAUUAACAGGUAGGUUAUGUACUAUUCAAAUACUACUGAAUUAUCUUUAAGUCAGGGAAAAUACAAACACAAAAUGUUAAUCAUCUUUACAGUACUUAACUGUAGUUAGUACGUAAUGGAUAGCAUGUUCCAAACCAGGGGUGUCAAACAUACAGUCCCCAUAGUGUAGCUACGUGGUCCAUGUGUUACAAUCAGAUUUUUCUGCAUUUAAGUUCUCAUUCCAAAGUGCACAGACUACAACAUGGCUGCAGAGGUGAUCGAUCCUCAGACUGUGACUGGGGCAGCCUGUGCGCUGCCUGAAACAGUGACUGGAAGGUCUGACCUUGGGAGUCUCCCACUUCUAACACCAGGUUUCAUGCCCGAUCUUGAAGCAUCAUCACCAGCAACUAACUGCUGAUCACUAGCAUCAAUGGAGUGACAGGAUGAGGAGAGGGGUGAAAGAGGCUGGAUUAGAGGUGGAGUGCAGCGCUCACAGGAAUGAAACAGAGCAGGACACAAACAGGCAGAAUGGGAAAAGGGAAUAAAUAAAGGAAAGAAAAAAGUAAAGCAGUAGCAAUGGCUGUUAGAGGGAGCAGGUUUUCAUGGUGAUGGAUGACAGUAAGGCACUGACCAACCAUUUACUAAUCAAAGGUUACAAAUGAAAGGAAGGCGUUUUCCCCUUUGAUAUAAGCACAAACUUCCUAAACCCUGGUACUGCUGUGUACAACAGCAAACAUAGCUACAUCUGUAGCUGUCGGCUGUGACCACCUGCAGUACUGCGUUCAGGCCUGGGCUCCCCGAAGGCAGACAUGGACCUGCUGGAGCAAGUCCAGAAGGGGCCAGGAGGAUGCUCAGGGGGCUGAAGCACCUCUCCUGUGCAGAUGGGCUGAGGGAGCUGGGCUGUUCAGCCUGGAGAAGGCUCUGGAAGACCUCACAGCAGCCUUCAGGAGCUGCAGGAAUGGACUGACAGGGAGUGUAACAGCACAAUGGGUGAGGGCUUUGAACUAAAAAAGUAGAUGUAGACCAAGUAAAAGGAAGAAAUUCCUCACAAGGAGGGUGGUGAGGCCCUGCCACAGUCUGCCCAGAGCAGCUGUGGGUGCUCCAUGCCUGGAGGUGCUGGAGGACGGGCUGGGUGGGCCCUCAGCAGCCUGUGCUGGUGGGAGGUGCCCCACCAUGGCUGGGGCUGCAAGGUGAGCUUUAAGGCCCUUCUAUCCAAACCAUUCUAUGGUUCUGUGCCUACAGUUACACUCAAGUUCAGCUCUUUUUACCUAAACUGCCUGACCUCCCUGCUCUGAAGGUCUGGGUCCCCUCACUGGACUACACAGUGAAAACAUUCAAUGACUCCUUCCCGGGAAACAACAGAUGAUAUUUUGCUGACUUGCUUUAUCAAUGUAUCGUUUGUUUCAGCCAGGACCAAGAGCUUCCAGCAGUUCUGAGUUCUCACGGAAAAGGUAAUUUUGGUUUCACCAUACUCAAGUCUCUUAAGAAUGCAUUACUGCUUAUUUCAUGAUGCAUCUGUUACACAGGCAAUGCAGAAUAUUGGCACUCAGACCAAUCAGAGCAGAGCAGUUCAUCUGGAAUUAGUUUUAAAAAAUUUGCUCACAGAGAAAUGACUGAAAAUUCUAUUUUUGUAUCAGUAAAUGACAAGAGAUUCUUUUUCCUCCCUCUGAUGGAGGGAAUAACUCCAGGAUUCUACAAUUCAUUGUCUUCAGCAAAACAGGAAGGGCUGGGAAUAGCUGGAUUCAGCACAAUUAGGUGCAAACCGACAGUGAUACCGAAGGUGGCUAUUAGUGAUUUGAUGUAUGAGAUGAAAAAGGUUUCUAAAUCAGUGACUCCCAAAUGACAAAUGCACAGAGGCUCAAAACACGGCACCAGUCAGCGCUCAGUUCUUAAUUUAAGUCUGGCCCUGUAACCCUUCCAUAGAUCUAACAGUUUAGGAAUCGUUUCUACUGCUGCUCCUACACAAUCAAGAAUAAAAACACGUGGUAAACUGCACAACUCGUCAUCUUUUCCAAUGAUUCCAUUUCAAUUCUACAUUUUCUUCUUGUUUUGGCAAACUAUUUGCAUAUUAAGCUUAUUAAGUUCAUAGUUCUUCCAGGACUGUAAACAAAUUAGAAGAAUUGUUAUUUUAUGAAUCAAUACAAUAAAGGCAUUUUUAUUUAC